rnacentral:misc_RNA from 1 species
CAAAACUGUAACAACAAGACUCGAAACACUGGCGUUGCUGAUGAGGAAUAAUUCUUUUCUUAAUAAUGAAUUAAAUUAAGAUAUUCUAGUUCCAGCAGAAACGAGAACCCAAACGGUGAUGUUAUGCCUGAUGUAGAAGAAGGUUUACAGGUCCAGAAUGAACGAGCUUUGCGCUACCUUGGUAACGGAGUCUUCUGCCAGCUCUGUCCCUUGUACGCCCGUGAAGAAGUUGUUAAAAGGGGAACUGAAGAAUGAUAAAAGGCAGUCAUGUAGUAAAGAAGAUCUCCAGCUUCUUGCCCGACUAGAAAAACAAAAUAGACUUUUGGAAUCAGACUCAAAGUCAUUAAAUUCCUUGGUUCAGUCUCACUCCCGGAAACUAUCUGAUACCAGUAUAAUCUCUGCUCAGUCUUCCCAAGUUCAUCAAAGCAUAGCACUGGAAUGUGAACAACUUGAAGAAAAUGCCUGCUUAACUUGGAGGAAGAUAUUAAAUGAGUGGGAUAAUCAUACGAAGAAAAAUAAUCUAUUUAUUAAAGAACAUGUUAGAAAGGGAAUUCCCAGUCACCUUCGUGGGAUAGUCUGGCAGUUACUAUGUAAUUCACAAAAUGACGCUGCUAAGAAACAGUAUGCUGAAUAUAUCAUGAGCUCUUCUCCAUGCGAGAAAGUAAUUCAAAGAGACAUUGCACGUACUUACCCAGAACAUGAGUUUUUCAAAGAGAAAGAUGGGCCAGGUCAGACUGGUCUCUUCAAUGUGAUGAAAGCAUACUCAAUCCAUGAUAGUGAAGUGGGAUACUGUCAAGGGAGUGGCUUCAUUGUUGGUUUGCUUCAGCUGCAUAUGCCAGAAGAAGAAGCAUUUGCUGUCUUGCUGAGGCUAAUGGAAGACUACAGACUGCGAGAGAUGUACAAACCCAGCAUGGCAGAGCUUGGCCUAUGUAUGUACCAGCUAGAUGCUAUAGUACAGGAACAGAUUCCUGAAUUGCAUGUACACUUUCAGUCACAAAAUUUCCAUACGUCAAUGUAUGCCUCAUCCUGGUUUUUAACCCUUUUCACAGCUGCUCUUCCACUACAGAUAGCAUCAAGGGUAAUGGACCUGUUUCUUUCUGAGGGUAUGGAAAUGGUGUUUCGCAUUUCAGUUGCCAUUUUGCAGUUCUGCAAAGAAGACUUACUGCAGCUUGACAUGGAAGGAAUGCUUCGAUAUUUUCAGAAAGAGAUGCCCUCCAAGUGUGAGACAGAUCCAGACUACUUGGUCUCCAUGGCUCUUCAGGUCAAGUACAAUAGUAAAAAGAUGAAGAAGCUUGAGAAAGACUACACAACUUUAAAGGUGAAAGAACAUGAAGAACUCAUUGAAAUGAAGAAACUACGGACAGAGAAUAGACUGCUAAGGCAAAGAAUAGAAAAUCUAGAACAGGAAAGUGCAUCACUUGCAGAUCGGCUUGUUCAAGAUCAGGUUAGUCGAGCUCAAGAAGCUGAAGAUAAUUUUGCUAUCAAACGAGAACUGGCAGAACUUAGAGAUAGGAAAGAGACUGUUGAAAAAGAACUGAAGGUCGCUUGUCAGCAGAUCAGAACACUCAAUGAGGCUGGAUUACAACCUCCCUCCAUUGAUAGCUCUGUCGAUGAAUUGCUACAUUCGCUACAAGAUGAAAUGGUGGCUAUUAAGUUACAAGGAGCAGAGAAAGAUGAAGUAAUGCAGGACUUGCGGAGUCGAAUUCAAGAACUUGAGGAGGCCAAUAAACAACUUCGAGAAACCACUCCAGACAAGUCACUAGCCCAACUACAGGAAGAACUCAUUGCUGUGAAACUGAAAGAGGCAGAGGCUAAUCUCUCUAUGAAAGAACUCAGGCAGAAAGUAUCAGGCCUGCAAAUUGUUUGGAGGCAACACCUAAAUGAAGCAAACAUGGAUUCUUCUACAACAUCCAAGAAACAGGAGAAGUCAGCAAUUGUGCAGGUGCAGGAAGAUCUUAUCUCAGCCAAGUUACGAGAGGCUGAUGCUGUGGCAGAACUAAAGGAGCUCCGCCAGAAAGUUAUGGAACUAGAAGCUCAGAAUCAAGUGAACCUAAACCAAAUUAAACGGCAGACUGAAGAAAUGGAAAAACUUCAGAAGACAUUGGAAAAGACAGUGGAAAAAGAAAAAGAGCUACAUAAUCAGCUGAAAGAUGAAGAGAGAAAAUCAAAGAGGAACAGAUGAUGACUAAAAUCAAAGAAGUGGAGCACACUCAGGUCAUUGCAGAAUUGAGACAGAAAAUUUCUUCUCUUGAGGUCAAGAAUCAAGAAUUAACGAUAGUUGGACAGUUACGACUUCGACCCGGUGCUGGGAAUAAUAUGGAUAAAAAAGAUCUACGAGAAUGCAUUUCUGAGCUGAAAGCAGAG